GAUCAUCUUAUGGGAAAUAAGAUUACAUUUUUCAGUAAAGGUGUUUCCACACUCAAUGCAUUUAUAUGGCUUCUCCUGUGUGGAUCUUUUUGUGUCUUCUAAGUCCACUGCUAUGAGCAAAGAUCUUUCCACACUACAUGCAUUUAAAUGGCUUCUCCCGUGUGGAUCCUUUUA